GGAGAUUUAGCUCAGUGGUAGAGCGCUUGCCUAGGAAGCGCAAGGCCCUGGGUUCGGACCCCAGCUCCG
rnacentral:tRNA from 1 species